GAUGAACGCUGGCGGCGUGCUUAAUACAUGCAAGUCGAACGGAGACAGUAGCAAUAUUGUCUUAGUGGCGGACGGGUGAGUAACGCGUUGGUGACCUGCCCCGAAGAGGGGGAUAACAGUCCGAAAGGAUUGCUAAUACCCCAUGUGGUCAUUUGGAUUAGAUGCCUUAUGACUAAACGGAUUUAUUCGCUUCGGGAGGGGCCUGCGUCCCAUCAGCUAGUUGGUAAGGUAAUGGCUUACCAAGGCGAUGACGGGUAGGGGACCUGAGAGGGUGGCCCCCCACAAUGGAACUGAAACACGGUCCAUACACCUACGGGUGGCAGCAGUAGGGAAUAUUGGUAAUGUGCGAAAGCGCGAACCAGCAACGCCGCGUGCGCGAUGAAGGCCUUCGGGUUGUAAAGCGCUUUUUAUGGGGAUGAGGAAGGACAGUACUCAUAGAAUAAGCCUCGGCUAACUACGUGCCAGCCGCCGCAGUAACAC
rnacentral:rRNA from 1 species